CCUACGGGGGGCAGCAGUGGGGAAUAUUGGACAAUGGGCGAAAGCCUGAUCCAGCCAUGCCGCGUGUGUGAAGAAGGCCUUCGGGUUGUAAAGCACUUUCAGUGGGGAAGAAAGCCUUGGGGCUAAUACCCUCGAGGAAGGACAUCACCCACAGAAGAAGCACCGGCUAACUCCGUGCCAGCAGCCGCGGUAAUACGGAGGGUGCGAGCGUUAAUCGGAAUUACUGGGCGUAAAGCGCGCGUAGGCGGUCUGAUAAGCCGGUUGUGAAAGCCCCGGGCUCAACCUGGGAACGGCAUCCGGAACUGUCAGGCUAGAGUGCAGGAGAGGAAGGUAGAAUUCCCGGUGUAGCGGUGAAAUGCGUAGAGAUCGGGAGGAAUACCAGUGGCGAAGGCGGCCUUCUGGACUGACACUGACGCUGAGGUGCGAAAGCGUGGGUAGCAAACAGGAUUAGAUACCCUUGUCGUC
rnacentral:rRNA from 1 species